CGUAGGGUGCGAGCGUUAAUCGGAAUUACUGGGCGUAAAGCGUGCGUAGGCGGUUCGUUAAGUCAGCUGUGAAAGCCCCGGGCUCAACCUGGGAACUGCGGUUGAAACUGGCGAACUAGAAUCUGGCAGAGGGGGGUGGAAUUCCACGUGUAGCAGUGAAAUGCGUAGAGAUGUGGAGGAACACCGAUGGCGAAGGCAGCCCCCUGGGCUGAGAUUGACGCUCAGGCACGAAAGCGUGGGGAGCAAACAGGAUUAGAUACCCUGGUAGUCCACGCCCUAAACGAUGUCAACUAGGUGUUGGAGGAGCAAUCCUUUGGUACCGCAGCUAACGCGUGAAGUUGACCGCCUGGGGAGUACGGUCGCAAGAUUA
rnacentral:rRNA from 1 species